AUCUCAUAUAAAGCAUUCAUGUAAGUCAGCACGAAUGCUUGGGGCAGGGCUGUGGGUUGACUUUGGCCCUGCCCCAUAAUGCCUGUCCUAUGCGAAGCCAACUAUCUCCUUACCUUUUUUUUUUUUGGCUUGAGGGGUGAGGGGGGCGGCGGUGGUUGAGGCCAUGUGUUAGCCCCACCCUGUGUUAAAGUCCACACGUUGAGAAUGCACUGUCAGACCUUUAUAAAUCAGAUCAUCACCUGCACACUUAUGUUGUUUAAUGGGGCUUUGUGUAGAAUGUUUUACACCUAGGCUUGUGUUGACAGUCUCUUUUUGAUCUACUUUUUUCAUUCCACAUCUGUGUUCAAACCAUCACUUAGCAAUGUGAGCAAGGAUCAGGAGAAAGGGCGAGGGAGAAAUUCACUGAUCUUGAGGAUUGUAAGUGGUUGUAUUUAUCAACACAGAACAUAGGUAGUCAUCUACUAAACAAGCAGCAAUUAUACUUUCUUUACUUAGACUGCUGCCCAUGUUUCUCUAAAUCUGAGUUAAAAAGAGCAGUGACUUGUGACUUGCUACUGAUUUUCCUCAUGAAGCCGUCUCUUGAUCAGUUUGGGUGGUUGAAUGUAGUCCACCCUAAGAUUAUACCGUGCUUCCACUUGGCAGCUUAUGUCCACUGCACUGUGGACUCCGCUUUUCUUCAGCUUGUGUGUAGGCUUUGCUACUUUGAGUGUGUUAUACCUGGCCUGGGGGUGAGGCAGGGACUGAAAAGAUGCUCUUGUGCUCUAUAGGAGUUUGCAGUACAUUAGCUCAACACACCAUGUAUUACUGCUGUGUUUGCUCUACACCGUGCAUGUCUGGGAGUGUGGAGUUGCCAGCCUGCUUUAUAUGGGCUUGAUGGAGGACCUUUAUUGUGAUGUCCACAACUGCAGGAUACUCUUGAUCCCUAUCUUGCUCUCAAAGUAACCCCGGGACGUUGUACUGCUGUAAGGCUUUGGUGCUGUGAAUGCGUAAUACCUGGCCUGGGGGUGAGGCAGGGAAUGAGAAGAUGCUCGUAUGCUUUAUAGGAGCUAAACAGAAAUUCAAUUCAUUGAAGGAAGUCAGGCUGGUAGCCAUUUAUAUCACUUUGACUUCUGUUAUGUUCAUUCAAACUCCCCCGAGUCACAGAAAUUACUGCGAUGUCAGAAGGGGAGAUUAACUGGAGUUCAUGGGUGGGACCUUUUGCAAGUGUCCCAAGAAAUCAAAAACGUGCCAGCUAUUUUUCAUCAGUAUUACAUGGCCUCAUGCAGCCACAAACAACAUACUAUUGUUGUGGCCAGAAUAUUAUUGCAAAGGAAAUCUGAGAGGGCGUACUUUAAGCUCUUUAACUUUCUCCGACAAGCAGUUCCCGGUUGGGACCCAGAAGUUCUCAAUUACCUGUGAUCAUGAGAGGUUUGGUGAAUGCCAUUUC